rnacentral:rRNA from 1 species
UACGUAGGGGGCAAGCGUUGUCCGGAUUUAUUGGGCGUAAAGAGCGUGUAGGCGGCUAUACAGGUCCGCUGUGAAAACUCGAGCUCAACCUCGAGACGCCGGUGGAAACCAUCAGACUAGAGUCCGGAAGAGGAGAGUGGAAUUCCUGGUGUAGCGGUGAAAUGCGCAGAUAUCAGGAAGAACACCCGUGGCUAAGGCGGCUCUCUAGUACGGUACUGACGCUGAGACGCGAAAGCGUGGGGAGCGAACAGG